UUUAUGGAGAGUUUGAUCCUGGCUCAGGAUGAACGCUGGCGGCGUGCCUAAUACAUGCAAGUCGAGCGAACGGACGAGAAGCUUGCUUCUCUGAUGUUAGCGGCGGACGGGUGAGUAACACGUGGAUAACCUACCUAUAAGACUGGGAUAACUUCGGGAAACCGGAGCUAAUACCGGAUAAUAUUUUGAACCGCAUGGUUCAAAAGUGAAAGACGGUCUUGCUGUCACUUAUAGAUGGAUCCGCGCUGCAUUAGCUAGUUGGUAAGGUAACGGCUUACCAAGGCAACGAUGCAUAGCCGACCUGAGAGGGUGAUCGGCCACACUGGAACUGAGACACGGUCCAGACUCCUACGGGAGGCAGCAGUAGGGAAUCUUCCGCAAUGGGCGAAAGCCUGACGGAGCAACGCCGCGUGAGUGAUGAAGGUCUUCGGAUCGUAAAACUCUGUUAUUAGGGAAGAACAUAUGUGUAAGUAACUGUGCACAUCUUGACGGUACCUAAUCAGAAAGCCACGGCUAACUACGUGCCAGCAGCCGCGGUAAUACGUAGGUGGCAAGCGUUAUCCGGAAUUAUU
rnacentral:rRNA from 1 species